rnacentral:rRNA from 1 species
CACGGGGGGAGCAAGCGUUGUUCGGAAUCACUGGGCGUAAAGGGCGUGUAGGCGGUCAAGUAAGUGGAAUGUGAAACGCCUCGGCUUACCCGAGGACCUGCAUCCCAAACUGCUUGGCUUGAGUAUGGGAGAGGAUGAGGGAAUUCCUGGUGUAGCGGUGAAAUGCGUAGAUAUCUGGAGGAACACCGGUGGCGAAGGCGGCAUCCUGGACCGGCAUUGACGCUGAGGCGCGAAAGCCAGGGGAGCAAAUGGG